GCCGUGGUAGCUCAGUGGUAGAGCGGAGGCCUGAAGAGCCUCGCGUCGGGGGUUCGAUUCCCUCCCACGGCA
rnacentral:tRNA from 1 species